UAGCUAUAGAACUCAAAGUGUACUUAUUUGCAAGAUAUGAAAGCAUCUCAUAAACUUGAAGAAUAAAAGAUGCAACUUUACAAGGUCAUGAAUAAGAUAUAGUUGAUAUAAGAGAGCAGAUACAUAAAGCUCAAUUCACUCAAUAUCACAUUACAUGAUAAAGAUUCAAUUUCCGAGGAUGGCAGAUACAAAUAACAUAGUGAAGUGUCCAUAUCCUGAUGUCACAAUUCCUGAAAAUCAGUCACUUGUUGAAAGAGUCUUUCAGAGAGUAAAGGAGUUUCCUGAACAUAUAGCUUUGGUAGAUGGAAUAUCAGGUACAAAGUAUACAUACAAUGAACUUGUUGAAGCAAUCCAACGAGUUGGAAGUGGCCUAACAAAACUUGGAUUCAAGAAAAAGGAUGUUCUGUGUCUCUAUAGCCCCAACUGUCCAGAAUGGGUUAUCACAUACUUUGCUGUUAUAGCCAUCGGAGGAAUUGCCACUACAGCAAAUCCAUUAUACACAGCAGGAGAGAUUCAACAUCAGAUGGAAGAUGCUGGAGCAACGUAUAUUGCAACUGUAGCUGAGUUCUUGCCUAAGGUCCAAGAGGCUGCAACAAAGUACACUGAACUUAAGAAAGUCAUAGUAUUUGGUAAUGGUAAUACCCAAGGCAGUAUAAGCUUUAAUCUCCUCAUGGAAGACAAAGGUGAUGCUUUCAAAGCAGCAAAAGUAAAUGCAAAGGAAGACAUUGCUGCUCUUCCAUACUCGAGUGGUACUACUGGGCUACCAAAAGGUGUUAUGCUCACACAUUUCAACCUAGUUGCAAACAUACAACAAUUUUGCUCACCAUAUUUCCUCAGCAGUCAUAUAGGAGACUGCUAUAUUGCAGUACUGCCAUUCUAUCACAUCUAUGGACAAAUUAAUGUCUUAGCUGGGGGACUCUGUGAUGGCGCAACUAUUGUUACAAUGCCAAGAUUUGAGCCUGAGUUAUACCUUCAUGCAAUACAACAAUACAAGGCAACAAGACUCUUUGUAGUUCCACCCAUGGCUUUAUUCCUGGCAAAGGACCCCCGCAUGGAUAAAUAUGAACUCUCUAGUGUAAAGGAAAUAUUCUGUGGGGCUGCCCCAUUGAGUAAGGAACUGCAGGAGGAAGUUACAGCAAGAUUAAAAUGCAAACUUAGACAAGGCUAUGGAAUGACUGAGCUAUCUCCAACAAGCCAUAUUUCUCCUAAGAUAGGCUGGAAAUAUGGGGCAGCAGGAAUAUGUGUACCAAACACAGAAAGUAAAGUUAUUGACUUAGACACUGGUGUUGCACUUGGUCCACAUAUGGAUGGUGAGGUGUGUGUAAGAGGCCCACAAGUUAUGAAGGGAUAUCUGAACAAUUAUGAGGCAACUGCUAACACAAUUGACGAAGAAGGUUGGCUGCAUACAGGUGAUAUAGGACACUAUGAUCACAAUGGACACUUCUAUGUGGUAGAUCGCCUCAAGGAACUUGUGAAAUACAAAGGAUUUCAGGUUGCACCAGCAGAGUUAGAAGGUUUGUUGUUAACACAUCCAGAUAUUGCUGAUUCUGCAGUCAUAGGUGUUCCAGACAUUGUAGCUGGGGAACUGCCUAAAGCAUUUAUUGUAAAGAAACCAGGUGCAACUAUAACAGGAGAACAGAUUUGUAAAUUUGUUGAAGGAUUGGUUGCUCCACAUAAAAAGCUAAGAGGUGGUGUAGAAUUCUGUCAAGAAAUACCAAAAUCACCAAGUGGGAAAAUUCUUCGAAGAAUCUUGAGACAAAUAAUUAAGGACAGGCUGAAAUCAAAACUAUAAAUGAAAUAAAGGAUUGGUUGCUCCACACAAAGAGCAAGAGGUGGUGUAGAGUUUUAAAAAAACUGACAAGGGACAAGUUGAAAUCAAAAUAUGAACAAUGUUGUGAUGUUCUUGGAUAUAUACCAUAAUUACCUACGUCACAAUUAUAUUGUUUCAAGGCCUAGACUAUGCCACAACAACAAUGUAUAACAUUAGUUUAAAUAGUUUCAUUAGUUUACCUCCAUCCUUGAGCAGAAUAUCAAGAAAGGUUAACAUAUUCAAGUUUGCCAAUAUUAUGAUGAUUUGGGUACUCUGGAAUUAUUAUAACGGAAUGAAUAUAAAUUAUAAGAGCAUGACUGGCUAAAGAAAAAGAUUUGAGACAAAAUGGCUUUUCAGAUGUAUCCAGUACAAUGUAUGCUGUAAGGCAAAUCAGUUCAAGAUUGGCAUACCAAUAGAAAUCCCUUAAAAUUGGAUAUGAAAUUAGAAA
rnacentral:misc_RNA from 1 species